rnacentral:piRNA from 1 species
UAGCUAUUCGUAGCAGCAAAA